CUACGGGGUGCACCAGUGGGGAAUCUUGGACAAUGGGCGCAAGCCUGAUCCAGCCAUGCCGCGUGAGUGAAGAAGGCCUUAGGGUCGUAAAGCUCUUUCGCCAGAGAUGAUAAUGACAGUAUCUGGUAAAGAAACCCCGGCUAACUCCGUGCCAGCAGCCGCGGUAAUACGGAGGGGGUUAGCGUUGUUCGGAAUUACUGGGCGUAAAGCGCGCGUAGGCGGAUUAGUCAGUCAGAGGUGAAAUCCCAGGGCUCAACCCUGGAACUGCCUUUGAUACUGCUAGUCUUGAGUUCGAGAGAGGUGAGUGGAAUUCCGAGUGUAGAGGUGAAAUUCGUAGAUAUUCGGAGGAACACCAGUGGCGAAGGCGGCUCACUGGCUCGAUACUGACGCUGAGGUGCGAAAGUGUGGGGAGCAAACAGGAUUAGAUACCCCUGUAGUC
rnacentral:rRNA from 1 species